ACUAUUUCAUUUCCCGCAUCCCCUCUCCUCUCUGUUCGCUCCUCCAAUCAAACGAUCCUCCUUUCCCUUUCUCUGCUCCUCUAACCUUAGAAGCGAAGGCAGCGAGCUCUUUCUUCAAUCAUGCUCCAGCGAGCCAUCGCCGCUGCCGCCGAGCAAUGGAAAGUUUGAUCCGCAGGACCGCCUCUAACCUCCGCUUUAGAUAUCUCGUCUAAUUUUUUUCAAUGUCUCCAGGACCUCCCGACUUGUUAGGGUUUCUACACUUUGUCGUCUGCGCUCAGAUCUAGGGUUUGUAUACUGUGUCUCUAUCACUCUGGCAUCUCGUAUCCUUCUCGCUAUCUAUUCUCUCUUCAACUAAAUCAUCAUCAUUUCCUCUCCUUUUCUCCUCUUACCUCAGAAGUGAAAGACAGGAAUACUUUCAGUUCUGGAGACUCCUUUGAACGCUCUUUACAUACCUCAGCGGAUCAUCGCCGCUGCCGCUGAGCAAUCGGAAGUGUUUCCGCUGCCUCCAACUUCUGGUUCAAAAUUCCGUUUCGGAUGUAUCUAGGGACCGCCAAUUUCACUCUCGAGCCAGAGCCUUCCAGAACGGAACUAUUACCGGCUUUCACCGUUUGAAGACUCUCAAGGGCUUCGUUGCGUCUGCUGCGAAAACAUGUCAAGGAUUAUUAUACAAUGCAGGCAGAGAAUUGGCACAAGAAUGUGAGAUAGUGAUUUUCUUUCUACCAAAGCUCACAUGUUUGCUCAUUCUCUGCACAUUGACUUUGAAAAGGGUGAAGUUAAUCUUUGCACUGGUAUUUCUCUUAUUAAGUCUGACUUUGUUUGGCCUUAGGAUGAUAGCGCCAUUGCCAUGUUUCAGAAAAUAAGCAUCUCUUUUUUUACUUUUUGUGCUAUUAGAGAAACCGGAUCAAGUAUGUCAUUUUAAUGUGGCUGUAUUUUGGCUGCACAUGGAGUAAGUAUAUAAUCCCAUUAACUCUAAUUCAGUUAUUCGAUGAAUCGAUAUAUAUCUAAUCACACACACCUAAUCAAUCAGUAUAUACUGUUUCCUUUGUAUAUUCUGAUUUGAUGUUGAUUUUUAUUUACACAACCAGGGCAGGUUAUUUUAUAUACCCAAUUAAGUUUCCCAUGCAUCCAUCAUAUAUAUAUAUAAUAUUCAUAUUGAUUAUUUUUGGAAUGAGCGUUAACUUCUCUUUGUCCAGCAUACGCUAGCUUCUUCGGACCUCUUAUCUCUAUGUAUUUUCGUCUAUGAUUCUUUCUAGCUACCAGCUACCUGGGUAGCUGAUUUAUUGUUCGUUCCUGUUUUUUCACAUGUUUGUUUGUUCAAGCGUAUGGUAAGAUAUGCAUAUACUAAUUACCUUCUAUUCCCCCUUCCCCCCUUUUUAUUUGAAAUGAAGAUUACUUACUCAAAAUAAUCAGUUUCAGAACUUUAGGCAUUGAUAUUUUGGGAUUUGUUUCUGCCUUCUGGUAACCUAGCUUGUUUCUCUUAUUUAAUUGUUCUCAAUAUGCGGAAUUGCAGGCGAGGCAAAGCAUGUUACUCAUAUUUCCCCAUUUAAAUUUAGGCAGGAUUAUUUGGUUUGGUUUAUUUUACAAUUAUCAAGGAAUUCUGAGUUCCUUCUGAAUCUUUCCACACUUAAUCUCCAUCAUUCUGAAUUAUAAACCCAAAAAUAUGUGAAAUUCUGGAAUUUAAGUAUUUUUCUUUCCCGUCUUAAAAUGGAGGGAAAGAUGAGGGAACCAAUUCAGAUAGGUAAAUCUUUCGAUUUUCAAAGAACUUACAUUUCAUAUAUUUUGUAUUAGUCCUAGCUGUCUCAAAAUCUUUUAACUUCAAAGCUCGCCUCCAUGUUUUCUAUUUAAAGUGACUCUUGAUAUGUUCUCAUCCAUUAAGAAAUUUUUAACCUUCCUCCCUCUUCUUAAGAAAUUUUUAACCACUUAUAAGCCAAAAAAACUUCAUCUUGAGUACAUGCAUUCUAUAAGCGAAGUACUCUAUUGCCAGUGCAACUGUCCUUUGCUAGAUUAGAAUUUAUAAGGUGCUUAGUGCUUACAUUCCGCAAAUGCAAUUUGUAACUAACUUCAUGUAAAGGAUGACUUGAACUUCUAUACACACCUAUUGAAGGUCGUCGGUAAGGUGAUUUGCAUUUCAGCAUAACGUCACAGGGAGAUUAUUAUGUCUGAAGUAUCAGACUAUCAGCAAUCUGACAAGGUAAGAUUAAUGCUUUUCACUAUUCUUUAGGGGAUUGCUUGUGGAAGAUGACCAUGGAUCUAGGCUAUUUAGUUUUUAGUUAUUAUUAUUUUUUAUAAAUUUACCAAUUAUGAACUGUUCAAAGGGCCUCUGGUACAAGUCGUUGUGUUUGCCUUCUUUAUUUCAUUGCAUUCAUCGGAAGUAAAUGCAUUUUCUAGUUGGAGAGCAUCUUAGAGAAGUAAUGAAUGUCCAAGAAUUGGCCAUCUUUAUGAGGUUGAUCUCCGUAACUAAAUGAGUCACACCAUAUACCCGAUGUUAUCUGGAACUUUACCCGUAACAGCAAUCUGUCUUUUUACAUAACUGUUUUUUAAGUUGCGUAUGUGUAGUGUCGUAGAUAUAAUCCUUCUACUUAUUAUUAUAAUGUCUAAUUGUUGACUCAACCUUUUAGUUGCUCGAGGGAUAUGGGGGAGUAACCAUGGGUAAGUUCUGCUCUUUAGGUUCUGUUCUGCUUAUGGUUAUAUUAUUUUUUGUUGUAUGGCCAGUUUUAGACCUUUUAUUGGCUGUUAAUAUUGUGUUUAUUAUCAUUAUAAUUGGUAAUGUUGCCAUAAUAAAGUCCUGUGUCGAAGUAACGUUUAUUUAUAUGCUCUCAACGAAUUUCGUAAAGGAGUGACUAGCCUGGUUAUUAUACUUAUAUAGUACUUGAUGAAUAACUUUGCUAGGCCAGAUGGUCAAUUUACGUGGUCCAUGAGGGCUUAUUGAUCA